UAGGGAAUCUUCCGCAAUGGGCGAAAGCCUGACGGAGCAACGCCGCGUGUGUGAUGAAGUUCUUCGGAUCGUAAAACUCUGUUAUUAGGGAAGAACAAAUGUGUAAGUAACUAUGCACGUCUUGACGGUACCUAAUCAGAAAGCCACGGCUAACUACGUGCCAGCAGCCGCGGUAAUACGUUGGUGGCAAGCGUUAUCCGGAAUUAUUGGGCGUAAAGCGCGCGUAGGCGGUUUUUUAAGUCUGAUGUGAAAGCCCACGGCUCAACCGUGGAGGGUCAUGGGAAACUGGAAAACUUGAGUGCAGAAGAGGAAAGUGGAAUUCCAUGUGUAGAGGUGAAAUGCGCAGGGAUAUGGAGGAACACCAGUGGCGAAGGCGACUUUCUGGUCUGUAACUGACGCUGAUGAGCGAAAGCAUGGGGAUCAAACAGG
rnacentral:rRNA from 1 species